rfam:Salmo salar isolate Sally breed double haploid chromosome ssa25, whole genome shotgun sequence.
UCCUCUGUGGCUCAGUUGGUAGAGCAUGCUGUUUGCAACGCCAGGGUUGUGGGUUCGAUUCCCACGGGGGAC